rnacentral:tRNA from 1 species
UUAUGAUAAGCUAUAUUAGCGGCUUAAUUUCGACUUAAGUAAAGGAUAAUUUAGUGAAGUUCACGUCAUUAUUUCAUGAU